rnacentral:snRNA from 1 species
AUGCUCACUUUGACAGCACAUACACUAAAAUUGGAAGAAUACAGAGAGAUCAGCAUGGUCCCUGCACAAGGAUGACAUGCAAAUUCAGAAGCAUUCAGCAUUUUU